AUGACUGACGUGCAGUUUUGGACUAAAGUAGCUGCCUUGCCUGGCCUGCAAGGAUCAUUGAUCCUCCAGCUCCAUAUCUUACCUCCUUGCUGCUUUUGGGAAACCAAAAGGAUAUUGGCAGGGACCAAUAUCUUCAGAACUAGCAUUAGCACCAACACCUCAUAUCACAGCAAGAAAGCAACGAGAAGCAUGGAGGCGACGGCGGUUAGCUUGGGCAAGGCUGUGCUCGACGGUGCGCUGGGCUAUGCUAAGUCCAAGGCGGCAGAGGAAAUCGCGCUGCAGCUCGGUGUCGAGCGCGAUGUGAACUUCAUCAAGGACGAGCUGCAGAUGAUGCAGUCGUUCCUGAUGACGGCCGAUGAGGAGCAAAGCCACAAUAAGGUGCUCACCACCUGGGUGAAACAGAUUGGGGUCCUGGCCUAUAAGGUGGAGGAUAGCCUCAUGGAUUUCGGCCUCCACUCGGAGAAAAAACCAUUCUUGGGCUGCAUCCCCCGCAACCCAGGUGAUCGACGCCGCAUUGCCAGGGAGGUGAAGGAGCUGAGGGCCGAGGUGGAGGAUGUGAGCAACAGGAAUCUGCGCUAUCGCCUCAUCAAGGAGAGUUCAGGCUCUAAGCCUACCGCGGUAGAGGAGCAGGCCAGCAAUGCCACUGCAGCACUGUUUGGCAUCAACGAAGCAAGACUUGCCGCCUUGGAGCAUGAAAAAUCAUCAGAGGCAGACCUCCACCAGCUGAUUACCAGCAAUGAUGUGGACCUUAGGGUGAUCGCCAUGUGGGGCACUAGCGGUGAUCUCGGGAAGACGUCCGUCAUCCAAGGGCUUUAUGAUGACCCAAAGGUAUUGAAAAGGUUUGGAUUCCGUGCUUGGAUUAGGUUGAUGCAUCCUUUCAAUCCGCAAGAGUUCCUCUGGAGCUUGGUAAGGCAAUCUUAUGAAAAUUCCCUUGAGGAGCUUGGAAAGCCUGAACAAGAAACAAGUGUCGGGGCUAAUGUUCUGGCCAAGAUGGAGAAGAUGGAUCAAAGUGAUUUAGUCCGUGUGUUUAAUGCACAGUUGUGUAGCAAUAGCUACCUGAUUGUGAUUGAUGACCUAUCCACAAUAGUGGAAUGGCAUUGCAUUAAGAAGUACUUUCCCGAUAACAAGAAACAAAGUCGAAUCAUCGUUUCGACGCUGCAAGCUGAAAUUGCAAGCUUGUGCACAGAGAAACCAUUACAAGUUUCGGUGUUGAAGCAGUUGUCAUGUGAUCAAACUAUUUAUUUGUUCCACAAGAAGAAUUCAGAGGAGCAGAUCAGCAUGAGCAGUGUUCGUGUGGAAAUGUACGACACCAAUGAUGAAGCAAUGCUUGCUGCUGUGGAGGAGGAGAAACAGAAGGCUAUGCAUGCAUCUUGUUCUGACGAGCCCACUUUCAAUUCAAACAACGUUACUACUACUGAGAAACACACAACAAUGCCCGCCAUUGAAAUACAAGAGGAAUACCAUGAACUUAAUAAUGCAGGUGAAGAAAAAGUUCAUAACUCAACUGCUAGAAAGAAGUUUGACCGCAGCAGGACAUUGGCACUGGCUGAUGAAGUGCUCUGUGGGCGAGAAACAGAGAAAUCUAUUCUUAUCAAAUUAGUUAGCCAUCCAGACAACGAUCAAGGCUGUAAGGUGAUCUCAGUUUGGGGAAUGGGGGGUCUUGGAAAAACCACCCUUGUCAGAAGCAUCUAUCGAAGCCAGCAGCUUGGUAGCUGGAAGCGUGCUUGGGCCACUGCAUUGCGUCCUUUUAACCCUGAAGUACUCCUUAGAGAUUUGGCUAUGCAACUUCAGGAUACUAUUCAAGAAGGUCCUGCCGGAUUAACAGCAACUGGAACACAAAAGAAAAGCAUAUCAGUACUGAAACUUCAAGACUUGAAGGAUGAGCUAGCUAGGGUACUAAAAUCGAAAAGGUGCCUUGUUGUUCUUGAUGAUAUAUCAUCCACUUCGGAAUGGGAUUUGGUCAAAUCAUGUUUGGAUAAUGCUGGAAGGAUCAUAGUCACCACAAGACAAAAAAAUGUGGCCAAAAAGUGUUCAAGAGAAGACAAGAACAUGUACUGUCUCGAAGGUCUGAAAGAUGAUGAUGCACUUGACCUCUUCAUAAAGAAGGUAUUCAAGGACAAUAUUGACAAACAUGAUUUAGACCCAGCUAUGAUGGAGCAAGCAAGAUUCAUCCUACAUAAAUGUGAUGGACUUCCCCUUGCAAUAUCGACUAUCGGUGGAUUCCUAGCCAGCAAGCCAAAGAAUGCUAUUGAAUGGAAGAAGAUGAAUGAUCAAAUUAGAACUGAAUUGGAGAUAAAUCCUGAACUUAGGACAAUAAAAACAAUUCUUAUGAGGAGCUAUGAUGGUUUGCCAUACCAUCUCAAAUCUGUUUUCUUAUACCUGUCCAUAUUUCAAGAAGAUCAUAGAAUUAGGUGGGGUCGCUUGGUGAGGCGGUGGAUUGCAGAGGGUUAUUCAAGGGAUAUGCAUGGCAUGACUGCAAUUGAACUUUGUCGGAGGUACUUUGAUGAGCUAUUGGAUAGGAGUAUGAUCCUGCCAGGAGAAGGGACAGACCAAUACAGUCAGAAAAUCAAUUCUUGCCAACUUCAUGAUAUGAUCCGUGAAAUAUGCAUCUCAAAAGCUAGGGAGGAAAACCUUGUUUUCACGCUGGAAGAAGGAUGUUGUUUGAGUGACACACAAGGUGCAAUACGUCAUCUUGUCAUUGGCAGCAACUGGAAAAGGGAUAAAGAUGUGCUGGAGAGCAAGCUAGACUUUUCACACGUACGGUCAUUGACCGUGUUCGGAGAGUGGAGAUCGUUUUUCAUCUCUGACAAUAUGAGGUUCCUCCGAGUGCUUGACUUAGAAGACACACUGGAGUUAAAAGAUCAUCAUCUUGAUGAUAUUGGGCAGCUCCGUCACCUCAAGUAUCUUUCUCUUCGAGGAUGUCGGAACAUUUUAUACCUGCCUAAUUCUUUUCAAAAUUUGAUGCACCUUGAAAUGCUGGAUGUCAGAGGUACACGUAUAUAUGAGUUGCCAACAACAAUCACCAAUCUUCUGAAGCUACAGCAUCUCCGUGCAGAUAGUUAUUACUACAACGAUGGUAAUGUCAAGGGAGAGGGUGACAUAGUUAAGAAGUAUAAAUAUUACACUAAACAUACUUCCACAUGUGGAAUAUGUGGCAUUUGUCUGUGCAGAUGUCAUCUUUUCUUGAGGCCACAAGUUUUAGAUGCUGGUUUGAACAGAUAUGAUAUAUUCAAUCUAUACCGCUUCCAGAAGAUGAAGCUAGAUGGCAUUAUACUUCCUAAAGGGAUUGGUAAAUUGAAGGCCCUUCACGCACUAGGUGCUGUGGAUGUCUCCGGGAGAAACGGAAACGCCACUAUAAAAGAGUUUGGAGAGCUUACUCAGCUACGUAAGCUUAAAGUGGGUGGUCUGAGCUACAGAAACAUCAAUGAGUUAUGGUCUGCCACUGCUGGUCAUAAUCAUCUUCAAUCUUUAUCAGUUGAAAUAGGCAAACCAUACCAAGAGAGGAAUGUGUUAGAUGGCUGUUUGGGUGAAGGUUUGCUGCCACCAAGCAGCCUUGAGAGCCUCGCUCUGCUUGGUAAGCUAGUCACUGUAACAGAAUGGAUCCAUAAACUUCAGAAUCUCUCCAAGUUGGUGCUCAUGGAUAGCAGAUUGGAGCAAGAUGAUGCCAUACAAGCCCUUGGGUUACUACCAAAUCUUGCAGUUCUACGUCUGGGGAUUGAUACGUUCGGUGGGACACAACUCCAUUUCCAUAGCUCAUCUUUCCCGAGUCUCAUGGUGCUGGAGUUGUAUUUGUUAGAAAACCUCCAGUCGGCGCUGUUUGAAAAAGAUGCAAUGCCUAAGCUCGAGCUGCUACAAGUUGGUCGGUGCUACAAGCUGGAUGCAUUCUGCGGGCUGCCAGCCCUCACAAGCCUCAAGGAAGUUCAGUUGGGUAGUCAUCGUCUCAGCGAAACAUUGAAGAAAUCGGUACAGGGUCAGGUAGCGGAGCAUAUGAGGCACGUCAGAGUGAAUAUUGUUGACAAAACUUUGUUUGUAUGUAUGUACAUAUAG
rnacentral:rRNA from 1 species